GUUGCCGGGUGUUUGAUAUUAUGUCUCAAAGGGACGGUUGUAUGUGAACAAGUGCAAAUGCUUUUGUUUUCCUUGCAAGAAGAAUAAGGCAUGAUACAGGAGAUAAGGGAUGGGAUAUCGCUAUGGAUCUCGAUCAGAUGCCAUUGGGUAUGCGACGACGGUUGGGAAGCCUACAAGGAAAUCUGAGUCUCGCUAAUGAAGCAAAUGUGAGUUACAUUGUAGAAAGAGUUGAGCAACCUCAUGGUGGCUAAAAAGGAACAACAUUUUGGUUCGUACAUCCAUGACUGAGAAACAGUAUCUUGGUAAAGUGAUCUCUUCCUUAUUGCACAAGUUUUUGCAAUUCUGAAAAUAACAUUAUCAAACUAGCUAUGAGAUUGUGGUACAAGUAAU